AUGCUUAACACAUGCAAGUCGAACGGUAACAGGAUGUGCUUGCACAUCGCUGACGAGUGGCGGACGGGUGAGUAAUGCUUGGGAACUUGCCUUUGCGAGGGGGAUAACAGUUGGAAACGACUGCUAAUACCGCAUAAUGUCUUCGGACCAAACGGGGCUUCGGCUCCGGCGCAAAGAGAGGCCCAAGUGAGAUUAGCUAGUUGGUAAGGUAACGGCUUACCAAGGCGACGAUCUCUAGCUGUUCUGAGAGGAAGAUCAGCCACACUGGGACUGAGACACGGCCCAGACUCCUACGGGAGGCAGCAGUGGGGAAUAUUGCACAAUGGGGGAAACCCUGAUGCAGCCAUGCCGCGUGUGUGAAGAAGGCCUUCGGGUUGUAAAGCACUUUCAGUUGUGAGGAAAAGUUAGUAGUUAAUACCUGCUAGCCGUGACGUUAACAACAGAAGAAGCACCGGCUAACUCCGUGCCAGCAGCCGCGGUAAUACGGAGGGUGCGAGCGUUAAUCGGAAUUACUGGGCGUAAAGCGCACGCAGGCGGUUUGUUAAGCUAGAUGUGAAAGCCCCGGGCUCAACCUGGGAUGGUCAUUUAGAACUGGCAGACUAGAGUCUUGGAGAGGGAAGUAGAAUUUCCGGUGUGGCGGUGAAAUGCGUAGAUAUCGGAAGGAACACCAGUGG
rnacentral:rRNA from 1 species